GCUGGCUGCCAGGGCAGCGUGGGACGCUACGGCGGAUAUGGCUGCAGAGCGGCCGGCUGGGAUCUUAGAUAGGAGGGGUGGAUUUGCAAGGCCUAGAAUAGCUGGGGAGUGGUUUCCCCGCGGAAUCGGCCUCCCUGCCGCUCCUGCUUUGUACUGUGACGCUCAGCCUGUGAUGACUGGUGUGGAAUCCGCUGAGCCACCUUGGCCUAAGGAGACUUUACCACUCUGAGAUUGUAAAUCUGUAAAAUAGAGAUGUAGGAUUAGCCCAUACGGUAGUUGUGGUAAAUACUGUGAGACAAUAAGGGGCCUGGGACACAGCAUUCAAAUGGGAAUAAUGAAGGUCAAGACUGUGAUUCCUGUAUCUUUGACGCUCUCGGUAUAAGCACCGUCGUGGGCACAGGGCAGUGGCCUUUAUGCAGGAGUUUAAGAGGGAAUGAAGGAAUGAAUGGGCAAACUCUGGAGUUCCCAAGUAUUCUCUCCAGGAGCUGUUUCCAUUCUUUUCGUUUCCAGCAGAUUCAAGAGGCAAUUGUUGGAAUGUAAAAAGAGCACGGGACUUGGAGUCAAAUACUUAAGUCUACCAUCAAGUAGUUGUUAAGAAUUAAACAACAAUUUUUGUGUACCCAGUUAAAUGUGGGCUGCUUAGGAAUGAUGACUGUGUCUUAAUGAUCUCUGUAUUCUUAGUGACAUGUAGAAUCAUUGUGCCUGACACAUAGUAUGUACUCAGGAAAGAAAUGGAAAAUGUGGUUUUAGCAUUGAAGGCCGGGAGAGAGGGUCUAACAGACUACAAGCCCUGCCAGGAGCAGAGUAAGGGAAACAGAGGAGAAAAGUGUUUUUAGUCUGUGCCUGAAUGUAUUUACAUCUGUUUGUAGCCCAAAAGCCAAAAGCAUACAUACGCUUGGCUUUUCUGUAGCUAUGUUUAUGGCUUUACAGCAGAUUUUAUGGAGCUGCAAUUACUUUGAUCAUGAGGGACUGAUGCUAGUGGAUUUACUUCACCAAAUGGAACUCACUUUGUGGCUUCUGAAGAAGGGACCUUUGUGGACUGUCAUGGAGUAGUUAAGAGUGCAGGCUCUGAUUUAGUGAUCAGAGUCUGCAUUGUCAGGAAUGGGACAAAGUGAAGUUAUGUGGCACUUGAUAGGAUGCCCUGAGAAGAUUGCAACAUCACCCCUGUGAUAUUCCUGCUGAAGAUCCAUAACCUGGAUGUAAUCAUGAGGAUAUAUCAGACAAACCCACGUAAAGAGACAUGCUGUAUACAAAACUGUAAUCUUAGAAAGUGCCAAGGUCAUGAAAAUCAAAGAUAGACCCUGGAACUGUUCCAAACUGGAGGGGACCAAAGAGGCAUGACAACUAAACACAACACAUGAUUCUGAACUGGAUCUUUUUGCUUGAAAGGAAGUUACAGGGACAGUUGGAAAAGUUUAAAUGGGGCCUACAAUGCCGUGGUAAUGAUGUGUCCGUGUUAAUUUCCUGAUUUUCAUGGUUGCCUGUUAAGUUACAUCAGAGGAUGUUCUUGUUUGCUGGAAAGUAAAUCAAUGUAUUUGGCAGGGGAUAAGGCAUCAAAUGGUCACCUUAAUUUCAAAUUAUUACAGGGAAAAUGUUUCUCUCUGUACUUAAUAACUUUUUUGCAAUUUCUUAAAAUGAAAGCUCUGGAGUAAAAACUUCAAGGAUCCAAA
ensembl:lncRNA TFIP11-DT TFIP11 divergent transcript